CCUACGGGGGGCAGCAGUGGGGAAUAUUGGACAAUGGGCGAAAGCCUGAUCCAGCCAUGCCGCGUGUGUGAAGCAGGCCUUCGGGUUGUAAAGCACUUUCAGUGGGGAAGAAAGCCUUGGGGCUAAUACCCUCGAGGAAGGACAUCACCCACAGAAGAAGCACCGGCUAACUCCGUGCCAGCAGCCGCGGUAAUACGGAGGGUGCGAGCGUUAAUCGGAAUUACUGGGCGUAAAGCGCGCGUAGGCGGUCUGAUAAGCCGGUUGUGAAAGCCCCGGGCUCAACCUGGGAACGGCAUCCGGAACUGUCAGGCUAGAGUGCAGGAGAGGAAGGUAGAAUUCCCGGUGUAGCGGUGAAAUGCGUAGAGAUCGGGAGGAAUACCAGUGGCGAAGGCGGCCUUCUGGACUGACACUGACGCUGAGGUGCGAAAGCGUGGGUAGCAAACAGGAUUAGAUACCCGAGUAGUC
rnacentral:rRNA from 1 species